rnacentral:rRNA from 1 species
GACGAACGCUGGCGGCGUGCCUAAUACAUGCAAGUAGAACGCUGAAGGAGGAGCUUGCUUCUCCGGAUGAGUUGCGAACGGGUGAGUAACGCGUAGGUAACCUGCCUGGUAGCGGGGGAUAACUAUUGGAAACGAUAGCUAAUACCGCAUAACAGUAGAUAUUGCAUGAUAUCUGCUUGAAAGGUGCAAUUGCAUCACUACCAGAUGGACCUGCGUUGUAUUAGCUAGUUGGUGAGGUAACGGCUCACCAAGGCGACGAUACAUAGCCGACCUGAGAGGGUGAUCGGCCACACUGGGACUGAGACACGGCCCAGACUCCUACGGGAGGCAGCAGUAGGGAAUCUUCGGCAAUGGACGGAAGUCUGACCGAGCAACGCCGCGUGAGAGAAGAAGGUUUUCGGAUCGUAAAGCUCUGUUGUAAGAGAAGAACGAGUGUGAGAGUGGAAAGUUCACACUGUGACGGUAUCUUACCAGAAAGGGACGGCUAACUACGUG